rnacentral:rRNA from 1 species
CCUACGGGAGGCAGCAGUGAGGAAUAUUGGUCAAUGGACGGAAGUCUGAACCAGCCAUGCCGCGUGCAGGAAGACGGCUCUAUGAGUUGUAAACUGCUUUUGUACAAGGGUAAACCUGAAUACGUGUAUUCAGCUGAAAGUACUUUACGAAUACGGAUCGGCUAACUCCGUGCCAGCAGCCGCGGUAAUACGGAGGAUCCAAGCGUUAUCCGGAUUUAUUGGGUUUAAAGGGUGCGUAGGCGGAUUGAUAAGUUAGAGGUGAAAUGUCCGAGCUUAACUCGGGAACUGCCUCUAAUACUGGUGGUCUAGAGAGUAGAUGCGGUAGGCGGAAUGUAUGGUGUAGCGGUGAAAUGCUUAGAGAUCAUACAGAACACCGAUUGCGAAGGCAGCUUACCAAUCUAUAUCUGACGUUGAGGCACGAAAGCGUGGGGAGCAAACAGGAUUAGAUACCCCAGUAGUC